CCUACGGGAGGCAGCAGUAGGGAAUAUUGCUCAAUGGGGGAAACCCUGAAGCAGCAACGCCGCGUGGAGGAUGAAGGUUUUCGGAGUGUAAACUCCUUUUGUUAGAGAAGAUAAUGACGGUAUCUAACGAAUAAGCACCGGCUAACGCCGUGCAAGCAGCCGCGGUAAUACGGAGGGUGCAAGCGUUACUCGGAAUCACUGGGCGUAAAGAGCGCGUAGGCGGGAUAGCAAGUCAGAUGUGAAAUCCUAUGGCUUAACCAUAGAACUGCAUGUGAAACUGUUAUUCUAGAGUAUGGGAGAGGUAGGUGGAAUUCUUGGUGUAGGGGUAAAAUCCGUAGAGAUCAAGAGGAAUACUCAUUGCGAAGGCGACCUGCUAGAACAUAACUGACGCUGAUGCGCGAAAGCGUGGGGAGCAAACAGGAUUAGAUACCCGAGUAGUC
rnacentral:rRNA from 1 species